GUGCAAAUAUGUUUUGCUCUUUUUUUCUGGGUAAUUUGUUAGGAGCUGUGGAGAAAGUCUGGGUGAAAGGGAUGGGCUUGAUUUGAUGACACGAUGUUUGAGUCAUUCCUGGCUUUCAAUUAUUCAUGCCACCCAGGUCUCUCUUGGCCAGCGGAUAACAAGGAUUUAGUUCAUGACGAGCAGCUGUCUUCGAGGUGGGUGAGUCAGGCAGGGGACAGGAGGGGAGCUUCAAAAGAAUGGAAAUGGAAUUUGCUUUGUUUUCAGCAUUAUUUGGUGAUUGUCUUUGUCUCAUUGCCAAUUUGGAAAUGUAAUUGACACUCCAGGUCCUGAAUGGAUGUACUUAACAUCCUCAUCUCCCUGUAAGAUCUCAUUACCUGUAUGACUAAUGCUUCUUUACCUGGCCAAACGCGAAAUUAUUUAAGACAUCUCAUUUACUUUCUGUUCUCUGUGCUGUUUCACUGGGCUCCCUACCAUGUUUUCUGAGGGACCCAGAUCUGGCUUACUCUGGACAUGUGAAAGCUAAUCAGCAGACAUGCCUGUAUUCCUUUCUUCGCGCCUUCCUUCUGCUUUUCACCCUUUACUUCUUUUUUCCUUCUGUAGUGACUUUUGCUAAGUCUGGGAGCAGAGAGACUGAAGUUGGCAGGUUAGUGGACAACAAACAGGAACUUGGUCUCACUAGUUGAGAAGCACGUGGUAUUAUGAAGUCACAGAGGUGGAAGGGAGAUUUGGGCCUGGAUUCUACUUCCUCCCCGGUGCCGGUGCUGGGAGCUCUGUGCCCCAUCAUCAUUGGGGAUGGGGGUGUUCAUGAUCUCCUGAGGCCACUGUUUCAUGGAGGACAAGCCCACCUUAGAAUGAGUGGAGAGAAAGAGUUUUCUCCUUGCACUAGCCCCUCUUUGCUUCUGGUCUGUUUCCAUGACACCCAGAGCCAAUCUCAGUGGAGAGUAGAUUUCAGAUUCUAAAUCCAGCCCAGGGAGGCCAAGAGCUGGGUGGUGGUUAAUGGCAGCUAUGUUGUGGAGGGGUAGAAUGCCCAUAACGGUGUUGCUCCUGUGAAGGCCACUUUCUUUUUCUCUUAAUGACUUGCUGGUGUCCUUCACCUGGGGUAGUGAGAGUUUUCCUUGUCCUAUUCCCCGAAGUUUGGAAGGUGUCCCAUUUUGGCCGUUGGUUCUGAUAGUUUGCCCUCCAGGAUGUGUCUGGUCUUGUUAGACGCUGCGGGUGGAGGUUUUGGCUGUCCCCGGGCCAUCACGUCACCUCUUUGUCAAUGGUACAUGCACUGUGUUCCAAACUUCAGCUUCCUUCAUAGUUUAGUGCUGGUCUUGGCUGGGAGCAGAUGUGAAUCAGGGGCCAUGCCAAGAAUCCAGAUGUAGAGUGUGGAUCCUUUGUUAAGAAGCCGGAGGCGGACUCUGCUUUCUAGGUGUCGGCUCUUCCCAAAGGGCAGAGAGCAGAUAGUGAUCUGGGGCCUCUUUUUGUACCAUUUAAGGACGGUUGCUCCCUAGAAUCAAGGCUUGUCCCUCCCAACUGCUCAUCUUACGCCUCUUCUCUGGGCUUCCAUAUACUAGUUCUGCCAUUUCCCCUGGUUCGCGUAACAGAAGGAAACCAGAAAAGGAAGGAGAACAUGCAAGAGGAGAAGUGUCAAAUCUGAUACAUCACGACCAGGACCGAUUUCAAGGAGCUGACUGCCUGGGUUUUAUGGUUUCAAGUCUUAUAUUCAAGUCUUUUAUCCAUCCAUAAGAUUCAUUUUUUAACUUCAGUGUUUUAUACUUUUGUCCUUAAUCCUAAAGGCAAUGUAUGUUCAUUGUAGAAAUGCACAGAGAGGCAUUAGGAAAAAGAAAAAAAAAAAGGAGACCUCACACCUACUAGGAUGC